UUAACUAAUUGGGUUUCCCCUUGGGUGUAUAUAAGGAGAUUACUAGAGAGGGAUUAGGGUUAGACCCUCAUAACAUCACACUAAAAUCGCCCCUCCUCUCUCUCCAUUACUACGAGUUCUUCAACCCUAAAGAACUCGGUACUACCAUUAAGAAGAUACAUCCUAAAGGGGAACCAGACCAAUCUGACGAACAUGACGUCUACUUCCCUCUCUGGUGUGGUGACUGCUAAUCAGAUUAAGUGCAGGUGCUAGACGAAAUUGGCUGGUAUUAGCUGCCUAAGCAUCACGAAUAGUCUCGCAAACUCGAUGCCGUAUCUGAAUGAACAAUAUUUAUUUAUUUUGAUCCGCUGUGGAUACAUUCGACUUCUGUAAUACAUUUGAUAUUACAAUCAGAGGUUGAAAUAUAUUUAUUUAUCUUUAAGCUUCCGUUGUGCAUUAUAUAAUUGUGUGGUUUGACUAUAUUGUUGCCAACAUCGUCACGGUAAUCCCCCACCGGGCCCACCGGUGAGACACGUGGAAAUCGGGGUGU
rnacentral:lncRNA from 1 species